rnacentral:rRNA from 1 species
ACAGUUAUUUAUAGCCUUGGCUAUAAGUAUCUGUUAGUGGCAGACGGGUGAGUAAUGCGUAGGAAUCUGCCUAGUAGUAUGGAAUAGCUAUUAGAAAUGAUAGGUAAUACUGUAUAAUCCCUGCGGGGGAAAGAUUUAUCGCUAUUAGAUGAGCCUACGUUAGAUUAGCUAGUUGGUAAGGUAAUGGCUUACCAAGGCAAUGAUCUAUAGCUGGUCUGAGAGGACGAUCAGCCACACUGGAACUGAGAUACGGUCCAGACUCCUACGGGAGGCAGCAGUGGGGAAUAUUGGACAAUGGGCGAAAGCCUGAUCCAGCUAUGCCGCGUGAGUGAAGAAGGCCUUCUGGGUUGUAAAACUCUCUAAUAGGAAG